rnacentral:rRNA from 1 species
GAGUUUGAUCUUGGCUCAGAUUGAACGCUGGCGGCAUGCCUUACACAUGCAAGUCGAACGGCAGCAUGAUCUAGCUUGCUAGAUUGAUGGCGAGUGGCGAACGGGUGAGUAAUACAUCGGAACGUGCCCUGUAGUGGGGGAUAACUAGUCGAAAGAUUAGCUAAUACCGCAUACGACCUGAGGGUGAAAGUGGGGGACCGCAAGGCCUCAUGCUAUAGGAGCGGCCGAUGUCUGAUUAGCUAGUUGGUGGGGUAAAGGCCCACCAAGGCGACGAUCAGUAGCUGGUCUGAGAGGACGAUCAGCCACACUGGGACUGAGACACGGCCCAGACUCCUACGGGAGGCAGCAGUGGGGAAUUUUGGACAAUGGGCGAAAGCCUGAUCCAGCAAUGCCGCGUGUGUGAAGAAGGCCUGGUGUAAG